AUGCUGGAGGUAUCAGAAGUGCGAAUGCUGACAUAAGUAACGAUAAAGCGGGUGAAAAGCCCGCUCGCCGGAAGACCAAGGGUUCCUGUCCAACGUUAAUCGGGGCAGGGUGAGUCGACCCCUAAGGCGAGGCCGAAAGGCGUAGUCGAUGGGAAACAGGUUAAUAUUCCUGUACUUGGUGUUACUGCGAAGGGGGGACGGAGAAGGCUAUGUUGGCCGGGCGACGGUUGUCCCGGUUUAAGCGUGUAGGCUGGUUUUCCAGGCAAAUCCGGAAAAUCAAGGCUGAGGCGUGAUGACGAGGCACUACGGUGCUGAAGCAACAAAUGCCCUGCUUCCAGGAAAAGCCUCUAAGCAUCAGGUAACAUCAAAUCGUACCCCAAACCGACACAGGUGGUCAGGUAGAGAAUACCAAGGCGCUUGAGAGAACUCGGGUGAAGGAACUAGGCAAAAUGGUGCCGUAACUUCGGGAGAAGGCACGCUGAUAUGUAGGUGAAGUCCCUCGCGGAUGGAGCUGAAAUCAGUCGAAGAUACCAGCUGGCUGCAACUGUUUAUUAAAAACACAGCACUGUGCAAACACGAAAGUGGACGUAUACGGUGUGACGCCUGCCCGGUGCCGGAAGGUUAAUUGAUGGGGUCAGCGCAAGCGAAGCUCUUGAUCGAAGCCCCGGUAAACGGCGGCCGUAACUAUAACGGUCCUAAGGUAGCGAAAUUCCUUGUCGGGUAAGUUCCGACCUGCACGAAUGGCGUAAUGAUGGCCAGGCUGUCUCCACCCGAGACUCAGUGAAAUUGAACUCGCUGUGAAGAUGCAGUGUACCCGCGGCAAGACGGAAAGACCCCGUGAACCUUUACUAUAGCUUGACACUGAACAUUGAGCCUUGAUGUGUAGGAUAGGUGGGAGGCUUUGAAGUGUGGACGCCAGUCUGCAUGGAGCCGACCUUGAAAUACCACCCUUUAAUGUUUGAUGUUCUAACGUUGACCCGUAAUCCGGGUUGCGGACAGUGUCUGGUGGGUAGUUUGACUGGGGCGGUCUCCUCCUAAAGAGUAACGGAGGAGCACGAAGGUUGGCUAAUCCUGGUCGGACAUCAGGAGGUUAGUGCAAUGGCAUAAGCCAGCUUGACUGCGAGCGUGACGGCGCGAGCAGGUGCGAAAGCAGGUCAUAGUGAUCCGGUGGUUCUGAAUGGAAGGGCCAUCGCUCAACGGAUAAAAGGUACUCCGGGGAUAACAGGCUGAUACCGCCCAAGAGUUCAUAUCGACGGCGGUGUUUGGCACCUCGAUGUCGGCUCAUCACAUCCUGGGGCUGAAGUAGGUCCCAAGGGUAUGGCUGUUCGCCAUUUAAAGUGGUACGCGAGCUGGGUUUAGAACGUCGUGAGACAGUUCGGUCCCUAUCUGCCGUGGGCGCUGGAGAACUGAGGGGGGCUGCUCCUAGUACGAGAGGACCGGAGUGGACGCAUCACUGGUGUUCGGGUUGUCAUGCCAAUGGCACUGCCCGGUAGCUAAAUGCGGAAGAGAUAAGUGCUGAAAGCAUCUAAGCACGAAACUUGCCCCGAGAUGAGUUCUCCCUGACUCCUUGAGAGUCCUGAAGGAACGUUGAAGACGACGACGUUGAUAGGCCGGGUGUGUAAGCGCAGCGAUGCGUUGAGCUAACCGGUACUAAUGAACCGUGAGGCUUAACCUUACAACGCCGAAGGUGUUU
rnacentral:rRNA from 1 species